AGAUUCUACAAGAAGAGGGUUUCAACACUGCUCAAUCAAAAGAAAGGCUCAAUUCUGUGAGAUGAAUGCACACAUCACAAAGAAGUUUGUCCAAAUUCUUCUGUCUAGUUUUUAUGUGAAGAUAUUUCCUUUUCCACCAUAGGCCUGAAAGCACUCCAAAUGUCCACUUGCAGAUUCUACAAAAAGAGAGUUUCAAUACUGCUCUAUCAAAAGGAAGGUUUAACUCUGUGAGACGAAUGCACACAUCCCAAAGAAAUUUCUCAGAUUGCUUCUGUCUAGAUUUAAUGUGAAGAUAUUUCCUUUUCUACCAUAGUCCGCAAAGCGCUCCAAAUGUCCACUUGCACAUUCUACAAAAAGAGGGAUUCCAAACUGCUCAAUCAAAAGGAAGGUUCAACUCUGUGAGAUGAAUGCACACAUCACAAAGAAGUUUCUCAGAUUGCUUCUGUCUAGUUUUUAUGUGAAGAUAUUUCCUUUUCUACCAUAGGCUG
rnacentral:lncRNA from 1 species